CCAACGAGGGCACCCGGAGAAGUAGCUCUCUCUCGGCUCUGUCCGCGUGGCGCACGGGAGCGUAGGCCUGAGGGCCCGAGACGUAUAUUCCCCUUCCACAUCGUUGGAGAACAAGCCGGGCCUCGUGCCUGCAGCCUGCAUAUUCCUACUGCUUCUCUGAGCCCGUCGGGCAGUGACAGAGGAGAUAAACCAUGCAGGAAACAUCC
ensembl:snoRNA SNORA73 Small nucleolar RNA SNORA73 family